rnacentral:rRNA from 1 species
UACGUAGGGGGGCUAGCGUUGUCCGGAAUCAUUGGGCGUAAAGAGCGUGUAGGCGGCCCGGUAAGUCCGCUGUAAAAGUCAAAGGCUCAACCUUUGAAUGUCAGUGGAUACUGCCGGGCUAGAGUCCGGAAGAGGCGAGUGGAACUCCUGGUGUAGCGGUGGAAUGCGCAGAUAUCAGGAAGAACACCAACGGCGAAGGCAGCUCGCUAGGACGGUACUGACGCUGAGACGCGAAAGCGUGGGGGAGCGAACAGG